rnacentral:lncRNA from 1 species
GUGAAGUCCAAAUUUUGCAUUUCCUGAUGUAAAUGAUUCAUAAACCUAGGUAAGUUUUCAAAUUAAAUAUGCCCUUUGUAACCACGGUUAAUCUUGGAAAGCAUUCAAAAGAGAAAAUGAUCAAACUUGAAAAGAAGAAUUUAAUAGUUUCCCUCUACCACCCCCACCACCCCCCACCACCCCCAUAGACUCUGGAAGAACCAGCCUCUCUCCUGCUUUCCCUAUAGUCUGUGUCAGUCAGAUAUGAUUUCUUAGCAGCUACAAAAAACAGACCUUUAGAAAUUGAUCAGAAAUAGCUUUUGCUUGAUCUAUGGUUGCUUUCUGAGCCAUCAUAGUGUUAUAAAUUAUCUUCUCAUGUUGAUGGGAUGAAUUCUAAAAUGUAAAAGAAAGAAGUUAAAAAUGUAAGAAAAUUGAAUAUUCACAAUCCUAACUAAUUUUUUUUUUUUUUUUCGAGACAGGGUUUCUCUGUGUAGUCCUGGCUGUCCUGGAACUCACUUUUUAGACCAGGCUGGCCUCGAACUCAGAAAUCCUUCUUCCUCUGCCUCCCAAGUGCUGGGAUUAAAGGCAUGCACCACCACCACCAGGCCUAAAUUAUCUUUGAAGAAGCACACAAUUUGCUACUUCAAAUGUUAUUUUCAAUGUAAAAGAUGUUCAUUAUUUAAGAUAAAUAGUUUUCAACAGUUUUUUGUCUAAGAUAGUCUUUGUGUCACCAAGGUUCAAAUUCCAAGUGUACUUGAUGUUUGAGUCAACAGAGAAUCCUUAAAAUCUGUGAAUUCCUACAGCACAGGAAUAUACAUAGGAUAUGUUCCUGUUGUCUAGCAUACAAUGAAUAUUAAAUGUUGCACAUUUCAACAUGUACACAGAUGAAGUUUCCAUAUGCAGCCCUUUCUUCUCCUUGACCUUGUCUCUAGAGGUAAUCUUGGCAUAACCCCUGCUGGCCCUCUAAAGUCAUCCCCUAGACAUCUUCAUCCACAAUAUCCAGACAGAUAUCUUUUAUCUAUUAAGUAUGAAAAAGAUGGAAGGCAGAUGACAACCAGUUAUUGGUUGCUGUUUUAGGACAUUUCAGUCAAUGUAUUCACGCAGAACUUGUUUAAUAUUAACCAACUCUCAUAAUACAUUGGUUCCAACGCUAGGCCUGAUACUCACAAUAAAACUGUCUUCUUCUUGCCCAACUUUUUCCACACUCAUGUCCCACUGUUGAAACAAAGACUGGAGGCUCUU